rnacentral:rRNA from 1 species
GAUGAACGCUGGCGGCGUGCCUAAUACAUGCAAGUCGAGCGAACGGACGAGAAGCUUGCUUCUCUGAUGUUAGCGGCGGACGGGUGAGUAACACGUGGAUAACCUACCUAUAAGACUGGGAUAACUUCGGGAAACCGGAGCUAAUACCGGAUAAUAUUUUGAACCGCAUGGUUCAAAAGUGAAAGACGGUCUUGCUGUCACUUAUAGAUGGAUCCGCGCUGCAUUAGCUAGUUGGUAAGGUAACGGCUUACCAAGGCAACGAUGCAUAGCCGACCUGAGAGGGUGAUCGGCCACACGGAACUGAGACACGGUCCAGACUCCUGCGGGAGGCAGCAGUAGGGAAUCUUCCGCAAUGGGCGAAAGCCUGACGGAGCAACGCCGCGUGAGUGAUGAAGGUCUUCGGAUCGUAAAACUCUGUUAUUAGGGAAGAACAUAUGUGUAAGUAACUGUGCACAUCUUGACGGUACCUAAUCAGAAAGCCACGGCUAACUACGUG